AAUUGCCAACAACAAAAUCAAAACAUUCAUAGUGCAAUUGUAGAAAAGGAAGAUGUUAUUUGUGUUUAUAACGAUACCGGUGACUCUAAAUUGAAGAAAAGUCGGCUCGUGACAAACAAAAGAGUUACGCAGCGUCAAGUGUAACAAAUGUGUGUGUCCAGUGUCUUGCCUCAGUUCUGUUGUGUCGUGUAUUGCUUCUGGUUUGCUGACUUUCUAACCUAAAAUUUAUGAAGUGAGUAAGGUUAGUG